rnacentral:lncRNA from 1 species
AUUGUCAUCUUUUGUACUUGAAGAUGUUUAAAGUAAAAAAAAAAAAUAUAAUGUUUAUUUUGGGCAAAUGUAAUGUAAAAGAAAUGAUGGAAGUGAUGUAAUGAAAUGUAAAGACUUUAUGAACGUACAAGUUGGAUGAAAUGGAUACAUGUGUGUGAUCAAAAGUGAAUCAUAGUACUUAUGUAGAUGUUUAGUUUCUUUUCUUUCACUCAUGGCUAUUGUUUACCCUCGUGUAAGCCGUUUGUGUAUGUUUCUGCUAGAGCUUUUCUCUACUUGAAAAUGUACAGGUGAUAAGCCUUGGGCGGACAGGGAAAACUCU